UAAAAUUCAAUCCAUUUGAUAGUGGAGAUGCAUGUUCCCUCACUGCAUAUGGUGGCAAUAACUAUGUAGUUGUAGGGACAUGUAGAUUUCAGGAAGAGGAUGCAGAAGUGGAAGGCAUGCAAUAUAAGACACUACGAACAUUUUGUCAUGGAAUCAGAGUUGAUGCCAUAGCAAGGAGUCCAGAAACUAGACUUGAUGCUUUACCUCCCCAGAUAAGGUUUUGUACAGCAGCUUCUGAUAGGAAGUUAAGGCUAUUUACUUCAGACCUGCAGGACAAGAAUGAAUAUAAGGUAAGGGUAACUGAGC